rnacentral:rRNA from 1 species
UACGUAGGGUGCGAGCGUUGUCCGGAAUUAUUGGGCGUAAAGAGCUCGUAGGCGGUUUGUUGCGUCUAUCGUGAAAACCUGCGGCUUAACUGUGGGCUUGCGGUGGAUACGGGCAGACUUGAGUUCGGUAGGGGGAGACUGGAAUUCCUGGUGUAGCGGUGAAAUGCGCAGAUAUCAGGAAGAACACCGGUGGCGAAGGCGGCCCUCUGGACGGAUACUGACGCUGAGACGCGAAAGCGUGGGGAGCAAACAGG